CUUUGCAAUUGAGUAGAUUCAAUGAUGUUACAUUGCUGUAACGUUACAUUGUCACAACAUUUUACCUUUAAUGAAACUCCUGCAUUUUAAAUAUAAAUCGAAUUAAAGAUUGAGAUUCUUUUACCAAAAUAGACGGAAUGAAACAAAAAAUAGAAAUUUUCGGAAUCAACAACAUUGCAGUGCAGCUGAAUUACUAUUAUACUAUAAUAGAGCAGGUCUAUUGCAGUUUACAAAAACUGCACUCAUUUUAAUACAUAUCUGGUUUCAACGAUGGGUAAUCUGAGCGUACGCCCACCGGUACAAACAUUACAGAUUUAAAUCAAUUUAAGUCAAUGUAGCUGAUACAAACAAACAUCUCAGGCCACUAUUGCUCCAUUUACUCAAAAGUAUGGCACGAAAUGGAUUAAGUUUGAGUACGAAGCUGCAGGACAACUUUCCAUUAAAAAUGAUGAAAUCAAAAUCCAUAAUUUUAAGACGUUCUUUCAAAUGUUACGUUGCUUCAGCCAAUCGAUACACAAAUUGGAUAUUUUUGAUCGACACAUAUGUACAACAUGAAAAUGUUCUUUUAUAUUAUUACGUUAUCAUUACCUGUGUAGUUACUGUCGCAUCCUGGACUACAUGAACGAAUUUUGUGCCGAAGCUUUGACCGAUGUCAAAUUCUAUUCCCCAAUAGGAUUUGAGUGCAUCGAAAAGCCUUUUGCAAAUAUUGAAGAUCUUACGAUUACCAAGAAUUCAUUGUUGGAAGAAAAUAUUUGAGCGCAGUUUUUCCAAAAUUAAAAAGUUUGAAAUUUUCCAUUAAUUUUUUUGAGCACGAUUUCAAUUCAGCCAUAGUAGAUUAUUUCCCAAAUUUACAGCAUUUGGAAUUAGAUUUGGGAAUUUGCAGGCUUGGUAACUGUAAACAGGUUGUAAUCGAUUUAUUUCGUUUGAACUCACACUAACUAAUUUUAGUUGUUUGGAAGAAAUCAGUGAUCAUUU